rnacentral:rRNA from 1 species
AUACGGAGGGUGCGAGCGUUAAUCGGAAUUACUGGGCGUAAAGCGUACGUAGGCGGUUGGUUAAGUUAGAUGUGAAAGCCCCGGGCUUAACCUGGGAACUGCAUUUAAAACUGGCGAACUAGAGUUGAGUAGAGGGGAGUGGAAUUUCAGGUGUAGCGGUGAAAUGCGUAGAGAACUGAAGGAACACCAGUGGCGAAGGCGACUCCCUGGACUCGAACUGACGCUGAGGUACGAAAGCGUGGGUAGCAAACGGGAUUAGAAACCCCAGUAGUCC